UACGUAGGGUGCGAGCGUUGUCCGGAAUUAUUGGGCGUAAAGGGCUCGUAGGCGGUUUGUCACGUCGGGAGUGAAAACUCGGGGCUCAACCCCGAGCCUGCUUCCGAUACGGGCAGACUAGAGGUAUGCAGGGGAGAAUGGAAUUCCUGGUGUAGCGGUGAAAUGCGCAGAUAUCAGGAGGAACACCGGUGGCGAAGGCGGUGGGCUGGGCCGGAACUGACGCUGAGGAGCGAAAGCGUGGGGAGCGAACAGG
rnacentral:rRNA from 1 species